GACGAACGCUGGCGGCGUGCCUAAUACAUGCAAGUAGAACGCUGAAGGAGGAGCUUGCUUCUCUGGAUGAGUUGCGAACGGGUGAGUAACGCGUAGGUAACCUGCCUUGUAGCGGGGGAUAACUAUUGGAAACGAUAGCUAAUACCGCAUAAGAGUAGAUGUCGCAUGACAUUUGCUUAAAAGGUGCAAUUGCAUCACUACCAGAUGGACCUGCGUUGUAUUAGCUAGUUGGUGAGGUAACGGCUCACCAAGGCAACGAUACAUAGCCGACCUGCGAGGGGGAUCGGCCACACUGGGACGGAGACACGGCCCAGACUCCUACAGGAGGCAGCAGUAGGGAAUCUUCGGCAAGGGACGGAAGACUGAGCGAGCAACGCCGCGUGAGUGAAGAAGGUUUUCGGAUCGUAAAGCUCUGUUGUAAGAGAAGAACGAGUGUGAGAGUGGAACGUUCACACUGUGACGGUAACUGACCAGAAAGGGACGGCUAACUACGUG
rnacentral:rRNA from 1 species